UAGGUGGGAGGCUUUGAAGCACGUACGCCAGUAUGUGUGGAGCCGUCCUUGAAAUACCACCCUUGUAGUGUUGAUGUUCUAACGUCGACCCCUUAUCGGGGUUACGGACAGUGCCUGGUGGGUAGUUUGACUGGGGCGGUCUCCUCCCAAAGAGUAACGGAGGAGCACGAAGGUGGGCUAAUCACGGUUGGACAUCGUGAGGUUAGUGCAAUGGCAUAAGCCCGCUUGACUGCGAGAAUGACAAUUCGAGCAGGUGCGAAAGCAGGUCAUAGUGAUCCGGUGGUUCUGAAUGGAAGGGCCAUCGCUCAACGGAUAAAAGGUACUCCGGGGAUAACAGGCUGAUACCGCCCAAGAGUUCAUAUCGACGGCGGUGUUUGGCACCUCGAUGUCGGCUCAUCACAUCCUGGGGCUGAAGUCGGUCCCAAGGGUAUGGCUGUUCGCCAUUUAAAGUGGUACGCGAGCUGGGUUUAGAACGUCGUGAGACAGUUCGGUCCCUAUCUGCCGUGGGCGUUGGAAGAUUGAAGGGGGCUGCUCCUAGUACGAGAGGACCGGAGUGGACGAACCUCUGGUGUUCGGGUUGUGUCGCCAGACGCAUUGCCCGGUAGCUAAGUUCGGAAUCGAUAACCGCUGAAAGCAUCUAAGCGGGAAGCGAGCCCUGAGAUGAGUCUUCCCUGAUACUUUAAGUAUCCUAAAGGGUUGUCGGAGACUACGACGUUGAUAGGUCAGGUGUGUAAGUGCUGUGAGGCAUUGAGCUAACUGAUACUAAUUGCCCGUGAGGCUUAACCAUACAACACCCAAGGGGUUU
rnacentral:rRNA from 1 species